CCUACGGGAGGCAGCAGUGGGGAAUAUUGGGCAAUGGGCGCAAGCCUGACCCAGCAACGCCGCGUGAAGGAAGAAGGCUUUCGGGUUGUAAACUUCUUUUCUCAGGGACGCAGAAAGUGACGGUACCUGAGGAAUCAGCCACUGCUAACUACGUGCCAGCAGCCGCGGCAAUCCGUCGGUGGCAAGCGUUCUCAGGAUUUAUUGGGUGUAAAGGGCGUGUAGGUGGGAGCGCAAGUCAGAUGUGAAAACUCAGGGCACAACCCUGAGCCUGCAUUUGAAACUGGGUUUCGUGAGUGCUGGAGAGGCAAGCGGAAUGACGUGUGGAGCGGUGAAAUGCGUAGAGAUACGGAGGAACACCAGUGGCGAAGGCGGAUUGCUGGACAGUAACUGACGCUGAGGCGCGAAAGCGUGGGGAGCAAACAGGAUUAGAUACCCGGGUAGUC
rnacentral:rRNA from 1 species